GUGACCUCAAAUCAGGUAGGACUACCCGCUGAACUUAAGCAUAUCAAUAAGCGGAGGAAAAGAAACUAACAAGGAUUCCCCUAGUAACUGCGAGUGAAGCGGGAAAAGCUCAAAUUUAAAAUCUGGCAGUCUUUGGCUGUCCGAGUUGUAAUCUAGAGAAGCGUUAUCCGCGCUGGACCGUGUACAAGUCUCCUGGAAUGGAGCGUCAUAGAGGGUGAGAAUCCCGUCUUUGACACGGACUACCAGGGCUUUGUGAUGCGCUCUCAAAGAGUCGAGUUGUUUGGGAAUGCAGCUCAAAAUGGGUGGUAAAUUCCAUCUAAAGCUAAAUAUUGGCGAGAGACCGAUAGCGAACAAGUACCGUGAGGGAAAGAUGAAAAGAACUUUGGAAAGAGAGUUAAACAGUACGUGAAAUUGCUGAAAGGGAAACGCUUGAAGUCAGUCGCGUUGUCCAGGGAUCAACCUUGCUUUUGCUUGGUGCAUUUUCUGGUUGACGGGUCAGCAUCAAUUUUGACCAUUGGAAAAAGAUUAAGGGAAUGUGACAUCUUUGGAUGUGUUAUAGCCCUUGGUUGCAUACGAUGGUUGGGAUUGAGGAACUCAGCACGCCGCAAGGCCGGGUUUUUAACCACGUACGUGCUUA
rnacentral:rRNA from 1 species